rnacentral:rRNA from 1 species
UACGUAGGCAGCGAGCGUUGUUCGGAAUUACUGGGCGUAAAGAGUGUGUAGGCGGUGCUGUAAGUUCGGUGUGAAAUCUCCCGGCUUAACUGGGAGGGUGCGCCGGAAACUGGAGUGCUCGAGCGUGGGAGAGGAAAGCGGAAUUCCUGGUGUAGCGGUGAAAUGCGUAGAUAUCAGGAGGAACACCUGCGGUGUAGACGGCUUUCUGGACCAUUGCUGACGCUGAGACACGAAAGCGUGGGUAGCAAACAGG